GUAAUGUUAAUGUUCCUGUAAAUUUUGGUAAUAUGCUAUGAAGUAUUGUUUGAUCUAUAAUUGUUAUAUUGCUGUGUUGUUCAAGUAUUUAUUUAAAUUAUAAUUAUUCCAUUGAUGUCUUGAUUCAAUAUUUCAUGUUAUAAAUUUUCAGUUAUUUUCUUUUUAUUCUAAUUAUUAUGUUUCUUAUGGUUCCUCAUUAUGACUGUAAUCAUCUUAUUUCAUUUCUUGUAUAUUACUCUUGAUUAACGACAAGUAAGCUAAAUUAUUUUAUUUAUACUUAAUUUUAAUUUAACGUUGUAAAUAAUAUUGUUUUGAUCUGGCACCUGCUGAAAAACCCACGGGUUUAGCAGGACCCAACAAUGUGAAAAUGAUUUUCUAAUGAAAUUCAUUGAUUGAUUAAAACAAAAACAGUAAAAUGAUAGCAAGCAGUUCGUAAUGGAAACCAAUAUUGAGUAAUUUUAUUUAUUUCAUUAAAAUUAUUACUAAAUAAGUGGUGUUUUUCACGUGGUGUUCAAAGGGAACUAUUGGCUAUAGUUGUGACAUUCCAGAAACUGGGAAUUCCAAUUGUUUAGAACUUUGUCUCUGUCUCUCUACUGCCACACUGACUCACCCUCUCUCUUUCACACACACCCUAAACUUUCUAUUCUCAACAUAGCGGUACCCAAUCGCCAUUUUCCUAACUCUCAGGUAGUAGUUUGAGGGGGUGAAGGUCUUUUUUUGAAGAAGACAACGAUUUCUGGUCAUUCGUUCGUCUUCACUGUUCACUCGUCUCUCCACAAAGCUUAGAAUAGCAUCGUGCUGAUUUCUAGUUUGACUCCAGAAAUUUAUUGUAAUAAGUGGUAGAUAGGUUUCGAUAGAUAGACUUAGUGAUAAUUUUUUGAGUAAGAAAUAGAUUAGAUAAAUAGAUAGGCUUCGUAAUAGGUUUUUAAGUUUUGAAAUAGGUUAGAUAAACAGAUAGGUUUAGUUAUAGAUUUUUGAGUUUAGUAUUAGGUGACAGAUAGGUUAUAUAGAUAUAUAGGAUAAAUAAAUAGGGGAUUAAUUAAUAGGGAGUAGCUUAGGUAGUUCAUAUUAUCGAGUUUCUGGCAGUAACGAUAGCUGUUGACUGUUGUGUUUCUGCGGUGUCUGCGUCUGUUCAGGUGGUUUUCUUACAAAGGAUAGGGGGAGGGAAUGUGGAGGACGCGGUUCGGAGAGCACUAGUCCGACUGGUUACUAAUGAAGUGGCCACAAACUUCAGCUGGGAAGGCAGGAAAGGGAAGAGGGCCUUAAACAGCCUUCUGAUUAUUAAAACCCUGGAGAAAGUUGUUGCUGCGUCGCAUACAGACUUUACCAGCAAGCUGUUUGAAAUACGGGUGAAGGAGUGGUUCCGGCAGUCUGGAACCAGAAUUUAUAAUCUAAAAAAAUCUACAAAAAAUAAUACGUUUCACUGAAUUUAUUAUUUAAAUAAAUAUGUAUUUUCAAGCUGUA